AGAGUUUGAUCAUGGCUCAGGACGAACGCUGGCGGCGUGCCUCAUACAUGCAAGUAGAACGCUGAAGUCUGGUGCUUGCACUAGACGGAUGAGUUGCGAACGGGUGAGUAACGCGUAGGUAACCUGCCUCAUAGCGGGGGAUAACUAUUGGAAACGAUAGCUAAUACCGCAUAACAGUAUUAACCGCAUGGUAGAUACUUGAAAGGAGCAAUUGCUUCACUAUGAGAUGGACCUGCGUUGUAUUAGCUAGUUGGUGAGGUAACGGCUCACCAAGGCAUCGAUACAUAGCCGACCUGAGAGGGUGAUCGGCCACACUGGGACUGAGACACGGCCCAGACUCCUACGGGAGGCAGCAGUAGGGAAUCUUCGGCAAUGGGGGCAACCCUGACCGAGCAACGCCGCGUGAGUGAAGAGGGUUUUCGGAUCGUAAAGCUCUGUUGUAAGAGAAGAACUGUGAGAAGAGUGGAAAGUUUCUCAUUUGACGGUAUCUUACCAGAAAGGGGCGGCUAACUACGUGCCAGCAGCCGCGGUAAUACGUAGGUCCCGAGCGUUGUCCGGAUUUAUUGGGCGUAAAGCGAGCGCAGGCGGUUUGAUAAGUCUGAAGUAAAAGGCUGUGGCUUAACCAUAGUACGCUUUGGAAACUGUCAAACUUGAGUGCAGAAGGGGAGAGUGGAAUUCCAUGUGUAGCGGUGAAAUGCGUAGAUAUAUGGAGGAACACCGGUGGCGAAAGCGGCUCUCUGGUCUGUAACUGACGCUGAGGCUCGAAAGCGUGGGGAGCGAACAGGAUUAGAUACCCUGGUAGUCCACGCCGUAAACGAUGAGUGCUAGGUGUUGGGUCCUUUCCGGGACCCAGUGCCGCAGCUAACGCAUU
rnacentral:rRNA from 1 species